UACAGAGGGUGCGAGCGUUAAUCGGAAUUACUGGGCGUAAAGCGCACGUAGGCGGCUUGGUAUGUCGGGUGUGAAAUCCCCGGGCUCAACCUGGGAACUGCAUCCGAAACUGCCUUGCUAGAGUAUGGGAGAGGGAAGUGGAAUUUCCGGUGUAGCGGUGGAAUGCGUAGAUAUCGGAAGGAACAUCAGUGGCGAAGGCGACUUCCUGGACCAAUACUGACGCUCAGGUGCGAAAGCGUGGGGAGCAAACAGG
rnacentral:rRNA from 1 species